rnacentral:rRNA from 1 species
GCGACCCCAGGAUGGGCGAGACCACCCGCUGAGUUUAAGCAUAUCAUA